GCCUUCGUGGUGUAAUGGUCAACAUAUUCGGCACGUAUUCGAGAGGUCCAGGUUCGAGUCCCGGUGAGGGCA
rnacentral:tRNA from 1 species